UACAGAGGUGGCAAGCGUUGUUCGGAAUUACUGGGCGUAAAGGCGCGUAGGCGGCCUGGUAAGUAGGGGGUGAAAUCCUGCGGCUUAACCGCAGGGCUGCCUUCUAAACUGUCAGGCUUGAGCACGGUAGAGGCAGAUGGAAUUCCCGGUGUAGCGGUGGAAUGCGUAGAGAUCGGGAAGAACAUCAGUGGCGAAGGCGGUCUGCUGGGCCGUUGCUGACGCUGAGGCGCGACAGCGUGGGGAGCAAACAGG
rnacentral:rRNA from 1 species